UGAGCGGUGAUAGUGUAUAUCGGUGUUAUUGUAUUUAUUACAUUCCUUCGAAAGUAUUCUCUACUAAAUUAAAUUGAUAUAAUGGACAAGUGUGUUUCAUUUUUUAUGUUGAAUAUUACAACAAUCAGUUUUCCUAUAUUU